rnacentral:lncRNA from 10 species
AGCCAGGGGAGGUCUGAAGCCUGAGUAUGAUGCGGUGGUGAUAGGAGCAGGCAGGCACCUGGGAUUCCGGUGCUGGCUCUGCUGUGUGGCCUGGGGCAAAUGCUUGCCUUCUCUGGGCUUGGAUCUUCCCAUGGAGAAUGACAGGAAGACUAGAGGGCCCCAAAUGCAUGAUUGCCAACUGGGUCUAUACAGAGAUAAUGACGGGACCGAAAGCAGACGGCACUCAACAUGCAGCUUUGAGGGCAUGCCUUCAUUUUCAUAUGUACUAGAGCAGUUGCGAGCUGGUAGAUACUCAACACUCACCUCUCCAGGGAAAAAUGUGUGAUGUAUGUGUGUGUGUACAUGUAUAUAUAUGUAUAUAUACACACAUAUAUGUGUAUAUAUAUGUAUAUGUGUUACGUACAUAUAUAUACACAUAUACACAUGCUUAUUUUAAAUAUUGAAAUAAAAGAUACACUGCACACAAUUUUACAAAUAAAGAUACAAUACUCUCAAUUUAAA